CCCGCACGGGCACGGGGGGGAGCAGGUUCGCGUCAUGUAGGUACGCGUGAGUGCACUGAGCCCGCUCCUCUGUCGUCUUCGGUUAGUACAAAGAGAGCCACCGGUACACGUAAUGCCUGAAAGGCACCUGAGUCCCCACGGGGCUGACAAGCCUGUGCGCUAAGUUUGCUGUUCUAAAUCUUGCUAUUACAAAGAUUUCAGCAGUAGUGAAUAAGCCUGACAAGACCAUUUCGCAAUCUCCUUCUCAGGCAGAGGCGGAUGGGAAAGGGAACAUGUGCAUUCUGCACGUGGGCAUCCUUGGACCGACAUCAGCCAAAGCCCCGUCCUGAGAGACCAGGGCAUGGUUCCCCACCUCGGUGCUUUGCCUCAGCCAAACGCCUGACUGCUCGGUCAGGCAGGUGGAGACACCAAAAGGAUGCGAAAAGCUGCCCUGAGCUCCCAGGGAGGUUCGUAAACUUUGGGUUUUUAUUUUUAUUUAUUUAUUUAUUUAUUUAUUUUGAGCUUGCCAGAGAAUCACAUCAGCCUGUCUUCUGCCUGGCUCUCCUAGCCACCGUCUUGCACUGGUAGUGCACGGGGAGAUGCACUAGAGCUGAUUUCAGACACACUGGGGUAACCGGAGGGAUGAUUCAUCAAGAUGGGAAAUAGUGUUAGUGUUGGGUGUGCGUUGAUGUGGCUGAUGGGAGCAGUGUAAAAGUGACAGGUGCAAAAGAAUAAGGGAUGGCAAUGAAGCAAUUAGCCACAUUUUGCGAAGGAAAAGGGCUGAGGAUGACUCCCAAGUGUCAGAUUCAGGUGAUGAGAGCAGAGAAUGCUUAACAGCAAAGAGAAGAAAAGCAAUGAGACCUAUCUCAGAUUACAAAAAUGGAGAGACGUGGGCACUGUUUAAAGGCUACCUCAUGCAGCACGCUGAAGUUUGAAAGCAGCGAGGUAGACUCACUUUUCCUCAGGUGGCUGUAAUCACAGGAUGAUGGACCUUAAUGAUGGAGAACACUUGUGACCUGGCCAGUGAAGGCAUUUUCCCUCUGCAGGAGACUGAACAGAAGAAGGAACCUACAGAAGCCGCUGGAGUCCCCUUUCAGCACUUUUGGAGUACAAUCUUUGCCAAUAGGGACAAACUUGUUGUUGCCUGUGGCUGGAACUGGUGACAAGAAGUCUGCAUACCAGUGCACAUAGAGUGAGGCACACCAGUUGAACUGAAAGGAGAUCAAGCUCAGAUACCCCCUGACAUCCUCUUGCAUGGCUGAAAUGAGGUGAUAUGAAGAAGAAGCACUGACGGUCUUGGCCCCUCAGCUCAGGUUUAUGAGCCUCUGGGGCAGCUUGACAGAGACAGGCACUGGCACUGCAAGGAGAAAGUCAUAUUUUCCAGGUGAGAAGAGACUACCAUCUUGUUUACUUCCAUGACUUACUGAAUGGAUAAAAGAAAACAUGCUAGCCUCUCCCUUCUGAGAAAAAAUGUAUGCCCAUUUUGUCUACCCUCACCACAAUCUUGGGGAAAUAGAUUCAUAAUUUCCCUUUUGCCUUGUGCACUGGUGUGGGAAGGCAGCCAGAAGCACAGAUCCAGGCUCUGGCAAAUGCAUGCAUUCUCAUAUGGACAAUGAACUCUUUUCAUAUAGAUUUAUUUAACCAUUUCCCAUGCCACUUAGAUUGGCCCAUGGCUAUACCUUAUCACAGCAUCCAUAACAACAUGUAACUAGCUCCUUCAAUUACUAGCUUGGGACUUACUAUCCUUCUUCCCAAUGGCCUGAAAUUCACACUCCCAUCCUCAAUGUUCCCACUUCUCCCAACAUCCACAAGGACCCACACUGUGGUUUUAAGUCUGAAUUAAGUCUCUUGGUACCCUGCACUGCUCUCUGUGGACUCUAGUCUAUUAGGACCUGGAAAAUCAUAGAAUCAUAGAAUGGAUGGAUUGGAAGGGACUUUCAAGAUCACCCAGUUCUAACCCCCCUGCUAUAGGCAGGGACACCUCACAUUAGACCAGGUUGCUCAAAGCCCCAUCCAACCUGGCCUUGAAUACUUCCCAGGAGGGUCAUCCACAGCCUCACUGGGCAACCUGUUCCAGUGUCUCACCACCCUCACUGUGAAGAAUUUCUUCCUAAUGUCUAGUCUAAAUCUACCCUCUCCCAGUUGAAAACCAUUUCCCCUUGUCUUGUCACUACAUGCCCUUAUAAAGUCCCUCCCCAGAUUUCCUGUACAUCCC
ensembl:lncRNA